AGAGUUUGAUCCUGGCUCAGGAUGAACGCUGGCGGCGUGCUUAACACAUGCAAGUCGAACGAGGGAUUUUGGAUGAGACUUCGGUGGAUUCCAAAAUACCGAGUGGCGGACGGGUGAGUAACGCGUGGGCAACCUGCCCUGUACAGGGGGACAACAGCUGGAAACGGCUACUAAUACCGCAUAAGCGCACGGUAUCGCAUGAUACAGUGUGAAAAACUCCGGUGGUACAGGAUGGGCCCGCGUUGGAUUAGGUAGUUGGUGGGGUAACGGCCUACCAAGCCGACGAUCCAUAGCCGACCUGAGAGGGUGACCGGCCACAUUGGGACUGAGACACGGCCCAAACUCCUACGGGAGGCAGCAGUGGGGAAUAUUGCACAAUGGGGGAAACCCUGAUGCAGCGACGCCGCGUGAGCGAAGAAGUAUUUCGGUAUGUAAAGCUCUAUCAGCAGGGAAGAAAAUGACGGUACCUGACUAAGAAGCCCUGGCUAACUACGUGCCAGCAGCCGCGGUAACACGUAGGUGGCGAGCGUUAUCCGGAAUGAUUGGGCGUAAAGGGUGCGUAGGUGGCAGAACAAGUCUGGAGUAAAAGGUAUGGGCUCAACCCGUACUGGCUCUGGAAACUGUUCAGCUAGAGAACAGAAGAGGACGGCGGAACUCCAUGUGUAGCGGUAAAAUGCGUAGAUAUAUGGAAGAACACCGGUGGCGAAGGCGGCCGUCUGGUCUGUUGCUGACACUGAAGCACGAAAGCGUGGGGAGAAAAUAGGAUUAGAUACCCUAGUAGUCCACGCCGUAAACGAUGAGAACUAGGGUGUUGGGGGAAUAACUCAGUGCCGCAGUUAACGCAAUAAGUUCUCCGCCUGGGGAGUAUGCACGCAAGUGUGAAACUCAAAGGAAUUGACGGGGGCCCGCACAAGCGGUGGAGUAUGUGGUUUAAUUCGAAGCAACGCGAAGAACCUUACCAGGCCUUGACAUCCCUUGCAGAGGUAUAGAGAUAUAUCCGAGGUUACCAAGGAGACAGGUGGUGCAUGGUUGUCGUCAGCUCGUGUCGUGAGAUGUUGGGUUAAGUCCCGCAACGAGCGCAACCCUUGUGAUAUGUUACUAACAUUGAGUUGAGGACUCAUAUCAGACUGCCGGUGAUAAACCGGAGGAAGGUGGGGAUGACGUCAAAUCAUCAUGCCCCUUAUGGCCUGGGCUACACACGUACUACAAUGGCGUCUACAAAGAGCGGCAAGCCUGUGAAGGCAAGCGAAUCUCAUAAAGGACGUCUCAGUUCGGAUUGAAGUCUGCAACCCGACUUCAUGAAGCUGGAAUCGCUAGUAAUCGCGAAUCAGCAUGUCGCGGUGAAUACGUUCUCGGGCCUUGCACACACCGCCCGUCA
rnacentral:rRNA from 1 species